rnacentral:rRNA from 1 species
GGGUGGUAAUGCCGGAUGUUCCACAUGAUCGCAUGUGAUUGUGGGAAAGAUUCUAUCGGCGUGGGAUGGGGUCGCGUCCUAUCAGCUUGUUGGUGAGGUAACGGCUCACCAAGGCUUCGACGGGUAGCCGGCCUGAGAGGGCGACCGGCCACAUUGGGACUGAGAUACGGCCCAGACUCCUACGGGAGGCAGCAGUGGGGAAUAUUGCACAAUGGGCGCAAGCCUGAUGCAGCGACGCCGCGUGAGGGAUGGAGGCCUUCGGGUUGUAAACCUCUUUUGUUUGGGAGCAAGCCUUCGGGUGAGUGUACCUUUCGAAUAAGCGCCGGCUAACUACGUGCCAGCAGCCGCGGUAAUACGUAGGGCGCAAGCGUUAUCCGGAUUUAUUGGGCGUAAAGGGCUCGUAGGCGGCUCGUCGCGUCCGGUGUGAAAGUCCAUCGCUUAACGGUGGAUCUGCGCCGGGUACGGGCGGGCUGGAGUGCGGUAGGGGAGACUGGAAUUCCCGGUGUAACGGUGGAAUGUGUAGAUAUCGGGA